CCACACGUUGCCGAGGAUCUCGACGGCCUCGAUGUUCAGGUCGCCGGCCUGCGGGUCGGCCGUUCCGUCGGCACGUUUGGU
rnacentral:tRNA from 1 species